UGGGGAAUAUUGGACAAUGGGCGAAAGCCUGAUCCAGCCAUGCCGCGUGUGUGAAGAAGGUCUUCGGAUUGUAAAGCACUUUAAGUUGGGAGGAAGGGCAGUUACCUAAUACGUGAUUGUUUUGACGUUACCGACAGAAUAAGCACCGGCUAACUCUGUGCCAGCAGCCGCGGUAAUACAGAGGGUGCAAGCGUUAAUCGGAAUUACUGGGCGUAAAGCGCGCGUAGGUGGUUAGUUAAGUUGGAUGUGAAAUCCCCGGGCUCAACCUGGGAACUGCAUUCAAAACUGACUGACUAGAGUAUGGUAGAGGGUGGUGGAAUUUCCUGUGUAGCGGUGAAAUGCGUAGAUAUAGGAAGGAACACCAGUGGCGAAGGCGACCACCUGGACUGAUACUGACACUGAGGUGCGAAAGCGUGGGGAGCAAACAGGAUUAGAUACCCAAGUAGUCCCUGAGCGGGCUGGCAAGGCGCAU
rnacentral:rRNA from 1 species